GAUGAACGCUGGCGGCGUGCUUAACACAUGCAAGUCGAACGAGAAGUGAAGACGGAAACCUUCGGGCGGAAGGCUUUAUUUCGAGUGGCGGACGGGUGAGUAACGCGUGGGUAACCUGCCUCAUACAGGGGGAUAACAGUUGGAAACGACUGUUAAUACCGCAUAAGACCACAGCACCGCAUGGUGCAGGGGUAAAAACUCCGGUGGUAUGAGAUGGACCCGCGUUCGAUUAGCCAGUUGGCGGGGUAACGGCCCACCAAAGCGACGAUCGAUAGCCGAUCUGAGAGGAUGACCGGCCACAUUGGGACUGAGACACGGCCCAAACUCCUACGGGAGGCAGCAGUGGGGAAUAUUGCACAAUGGGGGAAACCCUGAUGCAGCGACGCCGCGUGAGUGAAGAAGUAUUUCGGUAUGUAAAGCUCUAUCAGCAGGGAAGAAAAUGACGGUACCUGAGUAAGAAGCCCCGGCUAACUACGUG
rnacentral:rRNA from 1 species